CUUGCCAUACCACAUUGGAAACACCGGUUGUCGUCAGAUCACCAAAGUUAAGCAAUGUAGAGCCCGGUCAGUACUUGGGAGCGUGACCACCUGGGAACACCGGGUGAUUAUGGC